ensembl:snoRNA
AGCAUUCUGUGUUUUUAAUAUGUGGACAAACACUUAGAGACAGGUUCAAAAUAACCUCUUGCAACCCAGAACUCAUUGUUCAGUAUGAGUCUUGAUACGUGUAAGGAGGGACU